rnacentral:rRNA from 1 species
AGUGAAUAGAUACCCUGGUAGUCCUAGCCGUAAACGAUACUCGCUAGGUGUCGGCCACGGUGCGACCGUUGUCGGUGCCGUAGGGAAAGCCGUGAAGCGAGCCACCUGGGAAGUACGGCCGCAAGGCUGAAACUUAAAGGAAUUGGCGGGGGAGCACCACAACGGGUGGAGCUUGCGGUUUAAAUUGGAUUCAACGCCGGAAAUCUUACCGGGACCGACAGCGAUAUGAAGGCCAGGCUGAAGACUUUGCCGGAUUAGCUGAGAGGUGGUGCAUGGCCGUCGUCAGUUCGUACUGUGAAGCAUCCUGUUAAGUCAGGCAACGAGCGAGACCCACGCCCACAGUUGCCAGCGUACUCUCCGGAGUGACGGGUACACUGUGGGGACCGCCGCUGCUAAAGCGGAGGAAGGAAUGGGCAACGGUAGGUCAGUAUGCCCCGAAUAUCCCGGGCUACACGCGAGCUACAAUGGUUGGAACAAUGGGUAUCUACCCCGAAAGGGGAUGGAAAUCUCCUAAAUCCAAUCUUAGUUCGGAUUGAGGGCUGCAACUCGCCCUC